rfam:Onchocerca ochengi, WGS project CAWC01000000 data, contig: 13231_16238
ACGGUGGUAACGUACUUCUUUGCAUCGCCAUACGGAAUAUUGUAAACUAUGGAAUGUAAAGAAGUAUGUAACCCCUGA